GGGGGUGUAGCUCAGUGAUAGAGCACACGCUUAGCAAGCAUGAGAUCUGGGUUCAAUCCCCAGUAUCUCCA
rnacentral:tRNA from 1 species